CAUGGCAUAUUUAAGAAAAAAAAUCCAAGCAAAGAGGGGAAGAGUUAUGAUGAGCAGUGAGCAGUGAGGUAUAAGCCCAACACUUUUCAGCCCACUGAAGUGUCCUGCCUACAGAACUCAAGGCAAUUUCAGACUUCCUAUCGACUGACAUAGGUUUGGGGGUGCGGGAAAUGACUCAAAUGCUGCCCAAAAUAUAUUUUUAAAAACUUUUUCCCUGAUAAGCUUUUUAAGCCAGAUAAUGAAACCAAGUUGUUCGUGUUUCAUAUUUGAGAAUCUAAGUACUGGAUAAAUAAUAAGGGCUAUCAAUUAUUGGGGGCUUUAAUAAUUCUUCAAACAUUUAAUGAGUGUCUUCUGGGUGCCAGGCGCUGGGACUAUAGCUGUAAACUAAACAGGUGGCUACCUCCACAGAGUUUAUAGUCUAAGGAUUAAAAAAUUAGACCUUGCACAAUAGUGGGAGGAGACGGGGAAGUAAGGCCACCGUUGGAAGGUGGAGAAUUGGAGAAAAGUCUCUAUUCACCUCUCCUGAAGUAGUCAAGUGAAGGAAAAGUCACAGGUUACAUAUAGAGAACUGGGAACAUCCAGUUGCAAGAGUGAGACCACAACAGGAGCUGGCGAAGAAGUGCAUGGAAGGCUGUUGCCUCUGCAUUGACUGUGGGUUUGGGGCUGCUGUUGGUCAGCAAGGCAGGCAGAAAAGGACACCAGCUGGAGUCAAGACAGAGGCAGGCGAGGACAAGCUAGAGCCCACAAGCAGUACAUCUACACUUCUCUCCUUCCGCACCAGCUACACAGAGAUUCAGUGAAACGGUCUCUAUUGAUAGCCAGAUCAGACUGUGAAUGAAUGACCUUUUAAAACAGCCAGGUGUUUAUCUCCCAGUGCAUCCUUCCCUCUCUUCAGGAUAAAUCUUGGACAGUUAAGCUUAUCCUCAUGAGGGAAUCCAUGUGACCAUUUUCCAGCCAUUCUGGGAGUCCUCUGAGCAGCCAGAACAGAAGCAUGGCCCAGCCUCCCCACAGCUGAGUCAGGCCCUUAUAUAAUGAGUCCUAUUGUUCCUCAAUAAAAGCAAUUUCUGUAUUUCAAGAUGUACGUCAAAGAAACAUUUAACGGCAACUCAAACACUGCAUUUUUCAAUACUGGGUUAAAUUCUUUUUUUUUUUUACAAUCAGUAAUUCAUUUACUUCA